AGAAUGACUCUCGGUAACAGAUAUCUCGGCUCUCACAUCGAUGAAGAACAUAGCGAAAUGCGAUACUUGGUGUGAAUUGCAGAAUCCCGAAGCCUUCUGGACGAGGGCACGUCUAUCUGGGCAUCAUGC
rnacentral:rRNA from 1 species